rnacentral:rRNA from 1 species
GACGAACGCUGGCGGCGUGCUUAACACAUGCAAGUCGAACGGAAAGGCCCCCACCUUGGUGGGGGUGCUCGAGUGGCGAACGGGUGAGUAACACGUGGGUGAUCUGCCCUGUACUUCGGGAUAAGCUUGGGAAACUGGGUCUAAUACCGGAUAGGACCAUGGUUUAGUGUCUCAUGGUGGAAAAAUUAUUGUUUUGGUGCAGGAUGAGCUCGCGGCCUGUCAGCUUGUUGGUGGGGUAAUGGCCUACCAAGGCGUCGACGGGUAGCCGGCCUGAGAGGGUGGACGGCCACAUUGGGACUGAGAUACGGCCCAGACUCCUACGGGAGGCAGCAGUGGGGAAUAUUGCACAAUGGGCGCAAGCCUGAUGCAGCGACGCCGCGUGGGGGAUGACGGCCUUCGGGUUGUAAACUCCUUUCGUUAGGGACGAAGCCACACCUUUUUUGGGUGUGGUGACGGUACCUUUGUUAAGAAGCACCGGCUAACUACGUG